UACGUAGGGGGCAAGCGUUGUCCGGAAUCACUGGGCGUAAAGGGCGCGUAGGCGGCCCUUCUUGUCGCGUGUGAAAGCCCCGGGCUCAACCUGGGAACGGCGCGCGAGACGGGAGGGCUGGAGUUCGGGAGAGGAGCGUGGAAUUCCCAGUGUAGAGGUGAAAUUCGUAGAUAUUGGGAAGAACACCCGUGGCGAAGGCGGCUCUCUGGGACGGUACUGACGCUGAGACGGCGAAAGCGUGGGGAGCGAACAGG
rnacentral:rRNA from 1 species